UUAGAGUUAUCAUCAGAAUUUACCUAUAAAUUAUUAAAUUAAUUAUGAGAAGACCAUUUAAAAAUAGAGAAGCUUUUAGAAAAAUUAAAGAAUCUUUAAUUAGUAAUUAUUCAGAAUAUAUAAGUCUAAAUAAAACAAAAGAAAAUCCACAAAGAUUAGCCUACCUAAUUACCUUAAUAUCUAGUAUUGAAGCGAAAUUAAUAAUCCAUUUAAAAUCUAGAAGAAUGAGACACAUACCACCUAAUUAUGAUAAAAUUAGAUUUAGAUACCUAUCAAGAUAUUAUAAAUAAGGUUUAAAUGAAUAAAGUGCAG
rnacentral:lncRNA from 1 species